GUGGGAACCACUGCCAUGGGCCAUUUCCAUGAAAAUUCAAUUUCGGGGAUUAAUUUGAACAGGUACUAUUGACGUUUUCUCGUUUACACAAGAUCAAAGAGUAAAAACAACCGGGCCUCUGCUUAACAGUUGAGGAUUCUAGCAAAGUUAGGAAACAGGUUUCUAUUUGUAGUAGAAGAGAGAGCAGGCAGAAAGAGGAAGAUGGGAGCGGGGAGAGAUUGGCAGAGAUUCAGAAAGUUCGCGCUUGAGAUUUUUACGUUUCUUACUCGUAAACGUCUAUUUCUCUGGGUUUCUGAAUGCAAAGACGAGAAAGUCUCAACAGUCUGCUAAACUAACACGGCCUUCGAAUCCCAAUCUGAACACAGUAGCUGAAACAAGCUGUCCACAAAGAGGAAAGCCAGAGGGGGCCAAUUAGGAAGGAAGAAAUUAAAGAAAAGAGAAAAGCCAAGAUGAAAGGUCCAGCGCAAAGUGAAUGACUCGACUGGAGAAUGGCAGCCCUGGCAGGGUCUGCGGCCG
rnacentral:lncRNA from 1 species